CCACGCACAGAUGAAAAAAAUUAGAAAGAACACUGCUGGGGACAAAAGGCUAAGAAACCCUAGUCUAUAGGAAUCCUAUAGAAAUAUAGGAUGAGACACUUACCUUAUAAAUAAUAUGCAGUGAGACACCUUAUAACUAAUAUCUACCUUCAUGUUUUUGUUGUGAAGAACAAGCCUCUAGGUGUGCCAUGGCAAAUUAAAAUCCUCCAUAAAAAUGUGAUGUUACAGUUUUUUUAAAAAAAAAUCAUUAACGGGUUGAAUUCAGUUUUCCCUUUCAUUUCCGCCCCCCAUCUGUGCGCUGAAUGAGUUUUGUUCUGGGUGCAGUAUCAAGGCAGAAUGUGUAGAUGUGCAUUCAGAGUGGGGCCCUCCUGAUUCAACCUGAGUGGGAUCUAAAAUUAACUGAGCAGAUAUAAAAAAAACUUGUGAUCAUGAGAACGUGUGCAUGCCUUAGAGGGAAUGCUGGUCGAAUCUAUGUGGGUCUUUGCACUAACUGGCCAGGGUGGGACACAAUAUCACAGCUUGUGAUGUUGCAACAUCAUAGCUGCAUAAGUGUUAUAACAGUUGGCAAGAUAGGUUGAUACUAAUAAUACGAAAGUAGUUACUUUUCUAUGCAAAAUAUUCUUAAAGCUACUUGCAAUAAAAUGUAACACAUCAAGCACUUAAUUGACUGUGACAUUUCUGAAACAAAGAAGCCAUUAAUAAAACAACAUUUUUGCAAGCUUCUGAUGGACACCCUUUUUUCUGGACCAAAACUUGAGGGAUAUUUCACUCCUACUCCCUUUUUCAUCCUUUUAGAGUCUGUUAAGACUCAGAAUGACUGUCAGAGGAGCCUGUCCCCUAGGUUUCAACAUGAGUCACUCUCCUCCUCCUGAUCUCAAAGAGGCCGGAGCAGUAAAUCAUUCAGACACACAGAGGUGAGCCAUCCCAGGAUCUGGGUGUGUGGAGCCACCAGGUGCUGGAGCACGCCAAUAGCUUCAAUUAAAGUUCAGCGCAAACUCCUACUGCAUUUCCAUAAGAAGGACUGAGCUGAGCCAAAGAAGCUGGAGGAGGUGAUGGACAGGCCCUUUAGAGACCCUUGUAGGAAGAUCAAGAGAUCUAGCAGGACUUCAUGCAGCUGCCAAAGAAAACUGACCGCCUGGACUCUUCCUUCUAAAGGAGCAAUAACCAACCUGGGUCUGGAAAGAUUACUUAAUUAUUCAACAACUGCUGUAACAUGACAGGAAAUCAGAUUAAAUAAUUCUGUGCUUCACUAACUAUGAGUAAUUGUUCAGGAAUCUGCCCAUCAGCAGCACUAAAAGAGCUGUUCUAGCAGUCUAACUCGUUAAUUGAGUAAAAGGUGUCAUGAAAAAGUGCAGGGAAAGGAAGAAAAUAAAGGAGAAGGAUAUGGAGAAAACCUAAAAUUGUACUGCAAAAACUAGUUCUGGCUGCCAGUUCCCAAGGGGUCAACUUUUUCAUCAAUUCCUGUUCCUCUGCCUUUAACAGCCACUUGCUCUGAGCAGGUAAUAAUCUCCAUGCCAUGAAAAGCUUUACCUGCUGAUUUCUACAUACUAAGAUGCUGGUAAUGGCACUGAAGCAGCGUGGGCUGUUUUAUUCGGACCAGCUGGCAAUUCUACUGCUUUCUCAACACACAGGCUGCCAUAUUAUAUUUCCCUUUCAAAGAAGCAGGGCUGAGACCUCUUCAUCUCUAAGCCUGCAGAAAGCCAGGAGGAGGAACAAGGUCCAUUCAUCUACUCUGCACGAAGCAGGGCACCAGCUGGAAAAUGGCAAGGUUUUGACAACAUUUCAGGAAAGUAGAUGUGAACCUAGGCAGCAUGUUGCAAGGUCUUGCAGUAUAUACAAGAUGUAACUGGAGGUAUUGUCCAUAUAAACCCGUGAUCGUUUUACUGAAUGAAUUAAUUUUGUUGACAUUUUGUUUAUAUUUGGUUUGCUAAUUGUAUAUGAUCCAAUGUUAAUAAAUUGUUUUGUGUGUUUUAAAUGAAAACAUG